CAAUAAAUUAGCACAUUGCCAACAAACCUCAGAGCCAGGAAUUCAAGGCUCUGUCUAAGGUGAGCAUAUUUAUUACUAUCUCACUAUAUUGUAUACACCAUCUGUACAAUACCACCUAUGAGGUUCUCUCUCUCUGUUUGUUCCAUAUCUUCGGGAGAAUAUCGUUUGGGAUAAAGAGGUGUGUUGCUGCCUCAAGAGCAAGAAGGAGUCACUUACGGAGCCAAUAGCUUAUAGGCUCCAACCCAC